rnacentral:lncRNA from 1 species
GCAGAGCCCAGGCGCGUGGGUCGGUGUCGGGUGUGUGUGUACGUCUGUGUGUGUAAUGAAACUGGACGCCUUCCUUCCCGGCGAUCUUGACUUAACCUGUCAGCAGAGGGCUUGAGGUUAGACCACAGGUUGAACCUAGGUGGCUGCUGGAGAGGCCUUGAAAUCAUGGCAGCAGCAAGACCCAACUGGGGCAGCAUCAUGUCUGGGUUUGAAUCCCGGUUCAGCCACUUUCCAGCUGUGUGAUGUGGGGCAAGUCAGGUGGAGAAACAGAAGCCUGGAGAUGCUGAGUAACUUGCCCAUAGUCUCACAGCUGACAAGUGGCCAAGAAGGAUUCAAACACAUGUGUGCUGGCUCCAGUGGCUCCAGAAGUCUGGUGAGGGGCUACCUGAAGCACAUUGCCCCCUAGAGUUAAGGACAGCUGGAUCUGGGCUCCGGAAGCCUGCAGUUCAUUUCUGGCUGCACAACCAAUUAGCUGUGUGACCUGAAGCGCAUCUCUCACUCCCUCUCUGAAUCCCCAUUUUCUCCCUGGUUGAAUGAAAGGAUUCAACUGGAUGGUCCCUAGCUUGGUUGGUUGCAGCUCUGACAUUUCAAGAGGCUUCAUCAGGCUAAAAUAAGCACAAGAGCCACGCUGCGGUUGGGAAAGGGCAGCCUGGGACGUGCGUGCGUGGAAGCUGGGAGGCUCUCCAUGGUGAGGAGGUGUAGAGGGCUAAUUGCUAGUGCAUGAGCUCAGCUGGAGGCCACUUUCUCCACUCUGUGCCCACAGCUGGCUGUGAGUCACUGACAGGUCACCAGCCACAGUGGGGCUGCUGGAGACAGGGCAGACCCUGAACAUGGAGAGAAGACAAGUCUGACCCGGUGCUGGCCUUAGGGGGCCCAGGGGACUUGCAUGCUCUUCCUAGUCCCUGCCUAGUGCUACUGCACCCUACUAGGAAGGCACCCCAUCUCCAUCUCCCUGAGCACAGCACCCCUUUUCAUGGCAGCUCUGCCAGCCCUGGCACUCUGCCACUCAGCUCACAUACACUGAGUAGCCAUGCUGUGCCAGCACUGAGAGACCGAGGCAGGUAAGAGAUGAUCCCUGCUCUUAGGAAGCUUGCAGGCAAGGGGUCAGGGCCUGGCCAUGUGUCUCAGUCUUCUGAACCUGCCAGUGGGGGCUUGGAACUAGGGCACCUGCACAUGUCCCAGAGCUGGGGCUGUUGAAGCACCUACCCCUGCCCUCUGCAGGAUGGCCAGGUGCCAACCCCACUCCUAACCCUGAGGAGGAGGCUGCCAGACAGGCCACGACCUCAGGACAGACGUGUGCCAAAGGGUCACCCCUGGGAAAGUGGCCCAAAGGGGGUUCUAGAAAGUUACCUCCUUGAGAAAGCUGAGAAGGUAUGGGGAGCGGAGUCAGGGCUGAGCUUCUCUCAAGACGCUUCUCCUUGCACUGCUAUGAAUGUCUUCCAGCAUGACCUGUCUGGGGUUGCUAGAGAGAUUCAAAGUGUGUUUUCUGCCUCUGUGCGUGUGCUGCGUGCAUCUCUCACUGGGCUCUUUGAGGACAGGGCCCAUGGCUCGUUGCCUACCUGGGGUCUGGCAUAGCGCCAGUCUCACAGACUCACUUCUGAGACAAACGUCAGAGGUCUCCAGUCUUCUGUCCAGCAUGUGAAAUUCUCUGUAGUAUUCAGUGGUAGUUUCAUUCAUUCAUUAAUUCACUCACCAUUCAUUGGUUCCUUCAUUGAAGCAACAGCACCUCUGUGAAGCGCUACUUUUGCUUCUGCUUAAACUCAUUCCUGAGAAGCUCGUAGUCCUUUGGGAUCAUCCAAUCGACAUUGUGACCAUCUGACUUUUAAGAUUUCCUACUGUCGGUGAUUUAAAAACUGACUCCCUGAGUUCACCUUCUGCUGGCAUUUCUUCUGCUCCUGGAGAACCAGUUUAACCCUUCUUUGCAUGGCAGCCUUCAGAGCAUUCAAGGCAUGCUCAACUCUCUUUCUUCCUUUCUUCCCCCCUUCCCUUUCCCUUCCCCUCCCCUCCGCCCUCCCUCCCUUCCUACCUCCCCACUUUCCUCCCUCCUUCCCUUCUCCCUUCCUCCCUCCCUUUCUCCCUCCCUCCUUCCCUCCUUCCCUCCUCCCUCCUUCCUACCUCCCUUCCUCCCUCUUCCCUUCCUCCCUUCCUCCCUUCCUUCCUUCCUUUUUCUUCCUUCCCUCUUUCCUUCUUCUUUCCAUGUAUAGACAGUUAUUGAGCUUCCAGUAUGGGACAGGCACCAGGAAAACAAUGGUAAAAAGCAUAUACAGCCCUUGACCUCAUGCUACUUACAGCCUAGUUAGGGAGGCACCACAGAUCAACCAAAUGGGUACCUGCAAAGCUGCCUCUAUUAAGUGCAACCCCAAGACCAGGGCGAGGCAUCAGGUAGAGCAUGUAAAAGUGGGAUAGCAUCCACAGAAAGGGCUUUCUUUCUUGGGGUGAAACACCCCUGUGGCGCUUCCUUAGAUGAUGGGGUUUCUGGACUCCUCCCCACCCUGUCACUCUUUUUGUCACUGUCCCCUUGAGGAGGUCCCCAGGUCUGGACCCACUGCUCCAGGAGGGCCUGGCCAGCUUGGUGCCCAGGGAGCAGCCCCUCUCUGGUUGGACUCAGCCCUCCCAUUAGUGCAGCCCAAGUCUGCACGCUCAUUGCUCCCUGAGGGGCAAGGCUCCUCCCAGUAAUGUUCACACAAAUUGUUCUUACGUGUGGCCUCCCCCAGACUGUGUUUGAGCUGUUGAGUGUCUCACCUUGAGUUCGAGUCCUCGCGCUGGUCCUGUGAAUGCUCAUCUCUCUGGUAUGGCCUAUUCCCUCCACCCAUCAGGGUCUGUCCGAGUCUGGAUUCUGCUGCUGGCUGUGAAGCUCAGGGAUGCAUUCCCUGUUAAUGUGACCAGGAGGGAGUCUGCUUAUCCUAGAUUAGGUACCUACAAGCAGGUUCUCAGGGAAUAUGAGGAGUUGGGGCACUUACAGGCCCGAGCUAUGGAAUGGCAUCUGCCCUGGGGCUCCAGAAAGAGGUGCACAGGGCCUGAGGCUUGAGCUAAGCAAGGUGCUGCUGUUCUGUGAUCUCUGCCCCGGCUCCCGUGCCCCUUCCCAGCCCAUUAUCAAUACAGAUGGGGGAGUGGGGCCAGAUGCAUGUGUAUUUGUGUGUCUGUGUGGUGUGCACACACCUGUGUGUACAUGUGGGUACAAUGCGUGAGCCUGUAGGAAUUGCCUGAUAGGCCUCGCUGUUGGCUGGCAUCCACCUUUUGCCAUUGGUAACCCUGUCACUUGGAGGUAGCCAGGUCAUCAGAGCUCUGGCUAGGGCUCCACUCACCUGCCCUGCCUAACAGCCACACCAAGUGGCUCAUCCGCCCUGCCUGCAGGGUCCUACUCACCACCCCAGCCUCCUCAGGAACCUGGCCAGGACCCCCUCCUCAGUCCUUUACUUCUGCCCACCAGUCUCACUGCUGCUGGUGCCACACCCCCUCUCCCAGCCCCCAGCCCACUCCUUGCCUCAGCCCCCACAGGAAGCCUUUUAAAGAGACACCUGGCCCUGCUACUUCUCUGUUUAUAACCCUUUCGUAGCAUGGUCUCCCAUGAAGGAAGUCCAGACCUACCCUGCCCCUCUUGCCCAGCCCCAGCCAACCCCCCAGCCUUAGCUUGCCCCACUCCCGCUCCAGGCUGGGCCAUCCUGCACGACUCUCACUUCCCUGCUGUAACUGCAGGGAGCCGUGUGCUCCAGGCUCCAGGCCUUUGUGCAGGCUGCUCCUUCUGCCUAAAAUUCGGGCCCCGCCAACUCACUUCAAUUGUCACCCCCUCCUCAUCCUUUCGGGCUCAGUUUAGACAUGGGCUUCUCCAGGAAGCCCUCCCUGACCGUUCUCCUCGCUGUCACAGACUGUAGGCUCUAGGAGGGCAGGGUCCGUAUGGGAUUUAUUACAGUGUUUUCAGAGGUGAAUACUCAAUAAAUCUUAUUAAAUGCGUGAAAUAAUCUCUAUGGAUUUCUCAUUUGAUAUCUGUAAAAUGAAAACAAUGCUAUGUGACACACAGGGUUCUGAAGAGGGCGGUGGGAAAUGAUGUCUAUGAAUUUUCCAUCAUGGUGCUAGACAUAUAAUAGGUGCUCCAGAAACAUAGUUCUAAUUUCCCUGCUCUUUAAUGUUUAUGGGUAAACACAUGUUUUCCAUUUAAAAAACUGAAAUUUUGGAGUCCUUUUGACCCCAAAGCACGACUAGCUUCUUGCUGUCCAGGUUUCCACUCAAAUGUCACCACCUCACCAAGAUAUUUUUGGACCACCCCAUAUAAAACAGCGCCCCCACCCCACCCCAUCGCUCUCCACUCUAAUACUUGCCACACCAUGACCUGAGCUUUAUGAUUUUUUCACUUGUUGAUCAUCUGUCUUUCUCUGCCUAGAAUGUGAGCACCAUGAAGGCAGAGAACUUGGCUGAUUUUUUCAUUGCUGUAGCCUCAGUGCCCAGAGCCGUGCCUGGCAACAUAGCGGCUGUCUAGGGGUUUCCAGGGCCAAGGCUGUGAAGUCUCUAGGCACUCUCUGGGGACAAAUGCCAGAAAGAGAGAGAGACAGAGAGACAGAGAGAGAGAGAGAGAGAGAGAGAGAGAGAGUGUGUGUGUGUCUUUGUUUGAGAUGGAAGGGCAGAAGUCGGUGAGAUACCUCUUCCCUUCCCUCAUUGUACAUCUCAGGGAGGUGGGGACUCGGGGAAAACUCUCACAGCAGCUCCCUGGCCAUGUUUCCUGAGGGAAAUCAGGAGCAAUGGCCUCUCCAGGGCCAUGCAGAUGCAGGUUGCUUGGGGUGCAGGGGAGGGGGCAGCACCUCCUUCGUGGUGACCCUGGGCAUUUGGAACUGAACACGAGCCUUUCUAAGCACCCCUGACUCACAGCAUCAAGGAGAGGCUGGGGCAUAUCUGUGGUUUCUCCCUUGAAGGGAUCUGCUCUGCUGCCCCAAGCUGGGAGCCCAGGCCUAGGCCUGCCUCUUAUUGGUGACUUUUUUCUUCCCUGGGCUGUACUUGCUCCUCUCUUCACUCUUGCCUUCCUGUCAUCAGUGUCUGAUGGGCCCUGUCCUACCUGCGUUCCCUGUUGGUAUCAAAUUCUCACACUUGUGGAUGGAGUGGUGCAGCUCCCUGAGUCUCCCCUACCUAUGCUGCCCGCCUUGGGCUUCCUGGGGUCAGCCCCCAGCCCUCAGCCACUGCAGGGCCCUGCUGGCCCUCCCACCCUACCACUCUGACCCUCCUCCGAGGCAUGUGAGAGGGAUUCCAGAGAAGAACUCCCAGAGCCUGCCACCCAACCUGCUGCCCCUCCCCACUGAUGAAGGACACUCUGUCUCCACUUGGCCCCCGCCACCCCUCUAAGGGGGCUCAGCAUCAGAUAAGCCUAUCUGACCUCUGGCUUGGAUGGGUGGGGAGGGCAGAGAGCAGUGAGGGUUUGCCCAGGCAGUGACUUUGGACCCAAGUGUGGAAAGGAACUCCUGCUGGCUCAAGCCCCAGCCCCAGGCCCAGGGGUCUGAAAUCACAGCCUCCUCCUUAGAGCUGUCGGCACCCCUGGUUCUAGAGCUCCCGGUCCUGUCAGGGUCCCAGAAUGUUUGAGCAGGAAAGGAUUUCAGAGUUCAUACGUUUGUGAAGUGGACUCUGCAGUGCCCAGGAGCUGAUCUGUGCGCACACGUAUGUGUGCAUUCGUGUGUCAUGGACUAACCGCUGGGGCAUGAAGCCCACCCCUAUUUUGACCAAAGAACCCCCGACCUUUUUCCUAUGUUACCACAGAGAACAGAGAUGCCACAUGAUUUACAAUUUAAACAAGAGGAUUCACUGUUUGAAAAAAAGGUUUGAAAAUCAGGAAAGCUAAACAAAAGUCA